UCAAAGGGUGUCCGACAAAGGUAUGAGUCUUUUAAACUCAAUAUGGCUUAGCCCUCUUUGAA
rnacentral:tRNA from 1 species